CUACUCUGGCCUCCUUGGGAGGUAAAGCGAGAGUGGUUGGAAUCCAGGAGUGCUGGGAUCCCCCUCUGCCACGUCAAACCAUUGCAGCCUUGGACAAGAUCCUAAUCUCUUUGUGCCUCUGUUUCACUCUGUACAAAAUGAGAACAAUAACUCACACCUGCAUACUUUUAUAAUCCUAAGAGUGAGACCGAGAGUGAAAGUACUUAGAAAGGAACUCCAUGUUAACAAAGGGUUUUUCAUACUUAAGGAGACAGACUGGGCCUCUUCAUAAGGCAACAGUGUUCCAGGAGAGCGAAAGUGGAAUUGCACAGCUACUAAAGGCAGCCUCACAGCCUACAACCCAUUAUGAAUUAGUGGAUGCAGGCUUGAGCAUCAGUGGCUGCUGACAUCACAGAAACCAAGACAACUAGAUGUUACGCACCUACUGAGGGGGAGCCCAUCACCUAUGAAGCUGUCUUGCUAAAAUGAAAAAAACUGAACUUUAAUCUGAUCAAGGCUGUAGUUACAACCGCCAAGUUUCAGGAAAUACAGGAGACAAAAGAACACGUUAAACUACACCACAGCAGUAAAUCAGCAAAUCCAGACUAGAAAAACACUGUAGAAAAGCAACCUGUUUUUUUUCAAUAAAUAUACUAGGAAAGGGGAAAAAAAAAAAAAAAAAAAAAGGCUCAGAAGAAGCACAUGCAUUAGGAGAGACCAAUAAUUAUGUAUAGAAUUGUUGGAUCCUGAUUCAAAUAAUCUAUUUUAAAGAUUAUGACAUUUUUGUAAUUUUGGAAAUUUGUAGAGACAGAACCAUGAAAUUAAGGAAUUAAAGCUAAUCUGAAGUAU
rnacentral:lncRNA from 9 species